rnacentral:rRNA from 1 species
GAUGAACGCUGGCGGCGUGCCUAAUACAUGCAAGUCGAACGAAACUUCUUUAUCACCGAGUGCUUGCACUCACCGAUAAAGAGUUGAGUGGCGAACGGGUGAGUAACACGUGGGCAACCUGCCCAAAAGAGGGGGAUAACACUUGGAAACAGGUUCUAAUACCGCAUAACCAUAGUUACCGCAUGGUAACUAUGUAAAAGGUGGCUAUACUACCGCUUUUGGAUGGGCCCGCGGCGCAUUAGCUAGUUGGUAGGGUAAAGGCUUACCAAGGCAAUGAUGCGUAGCCGAAUUGAGAGGUUGAUCGGCCACAUUGGGACUGAGACACGGCCCAAACUCCUACGGGAGGCAGCAGUAGGGAAUCUUCCACAAUGGGCGAAAGCCUGAUGGAGCAACGCCGCGUGGGUGAAGAAGGUCUUCGGAUCGUAAAACCCUGUUGUUAGAGAAGAAAGUGCGUGAGAGUAACUGUUCACGUUUCGACGGUAUCUAACCAGAAAGCCACGGCUAACUACGUG